rnacentral:rRNA from 1 species
GACGAACGCUGGCGGCGUGCUUAACACAUGCAAGUCGAACGGAAAGGCCCUGCUUUUGUGGGGUGCUCGAGUGGCGAACGGGUGAGUAACACGUGAGUAACCUGCCCUUGACUUUGGGAUAACUUCAGGAAACUGGGGCUAAUACCGGAUAGGAGCUCCUGCUGCAUGGUGGGGGUUGGAAAGUUUCGGCGGUUGGGGAUGGACUCGCGGCUUAUCAGCUUGUUGGUGGGGUAGUGGCUUACCAAGGCUUUGACGGGUAGCCGGCCUGAGAGGGUGACCGGACACAGUGGGAAGGAUUGGAGGCUGGGGCUCAGACGGGAGGAAGCAGUGGGGGAGAGGGCAGAAGGGGCGGAGGCUGAAUGCAGUAACGGCGAGUGAGGGAGGGUGGGCGGCGGUAUGGAAUAAGGUUUCGCCGGUGAAGAACGGUGAGGCAGGCGAAUGGGUAGAGAAGCAGAGCACAAGUCUAAA